rnacentral:rRNA from 1 species
CAGUAGCCGCGGGAAAACGGAGGGCGCGAGCGUUACCCGGAUUUACUGGGCGUAAAGGGCGUGUAGGCGGCCUGGGGCGUCCCAUGUGAAAGGCCACGGCUCAACCGUGGAGGAGCGUGGGAUACGCUCAGGCUAGAGGGUGGGAGAGGGUGGUGGAAUUCCCGGAGUAGCGGUGAAACGCGCAGAUACCGGGAGGAACGCCGAUGGCGAAGGCAGCCACCUGGUCCACCUCUGACGCUGAGGCGCGAAAGCGUGGGAGCAAACCGGAUUAGAUACCCCAGUAGUCCCUGUCUCUUAUACA